AGAAGAAGAUCAGAAUAAAGAGACUUUCGAUUUACGUGACAAUAGAAAAAAAGCUUUGCAAAGUGAUGGGCCACAGCAAGGCAGCAAUAGAAGAGAGUCACAAAUAGAAUAUCUUACGUUACAAGGUCCUAUCCAGAACUACCUAAAUGUUGUAAAUCCUUCGGUCGGACUCUCUAUAGACG
rnacentral:sRNA from 1 species